UACGUAGGGGGCAAGCGUUGUCCGGAUUUAUUGGGCGUAAAGAGCUUGUAGGCGGCCUUACAGGUCAGCUGUGAAAACUCGAGGCUCAACCUCGAGACGUCGGUUGAAACCGUAUGGCUAGAGUCCGGAAGAGGAGAGUGGAAUUCCCGGUGUAGCGGUGAAAUGCGCAGAUAUCGGGAAGAACACCCGUGGCGAAGGCGGCUCUCUGGGACGGUACUGACGCUGAGACGCGAAAGCGUGGGGAGCGAACAGG
rnacentral:rRNA from 1 species